rnacentral:misc_RNA from 1 species
UCAAACUUGGUCAUUUAGAGGAAGUAAAAGUCGUAACAAGGUUUCCGUAGGUGAACCUGCGGAAGGAUCAUUACCGAGUUCAUGCCCUCACGGGUAGACCUCCCACCCUUGAGUACCUUACCUUUGUUGCUUUGGCGGGCCGCCCUCGGCCACCGGCUCCGGCUGGUGAGCGCCCGCCAGAGGACCCUAAACUCUGAAUUAUCGUGUCGUCUGAGAACUAUACAAUAGUUAAAACUUUCAACAACGGAUCUCUUGGUUCUGGCAUCGAUGAAGAACGCAGC